AAAUAUCUUCAGGGCAGGGUGUAAUUCCCGAUCGGCGGUAUAGUCCGCGAACGUUGUACAGGCGUUGAUUUGGUGCAAUUCCAAAACCGACAGUAUAGUCUGGAUGAAAGAAGAUAUGA
rfam:Megasphaera sp. BV3C16-1 contig00005, whole genome shotgun sequence.